UACGAAGGGGGCUAGCGUUGCUCGGAAUUACUGGGCGUAAAGCGCACGUAGGCGGCUUUCUAAGUCGGGGGUGAAAUCCUGGAGCUCAACUCCAGAACUGCCUUCGAUACUGGAAGUCUUGAGUCCGGGAGAGGUGAGUGGAACUCCGAGUGUAGAGGUGAAAUUCGUAGAUAUUCGGAAGAACACCAGUGGCGAAGGCGGCUCACUGGCCCGGUACUGACGCUGAGAUACGAAAGCGUGGGGAGCAAACAGG
rnacentral:rRNA from 1 species